GGUCAAGUUACAAAGGGCUAACGGUGGAUACCUAGGCACGCUGAGGCGAAGAAGGACGCGGUGACCGGCGAAACGCUCCGGGGAGCUGGAAACAAGCAUCGAUCCGGAGGUGUCCGAAUGGGGCAACCCCAAGAACGGCCGUCUGAAUCUAUAGGGCGGCACGAGCCAACCGAGCGAACUGAAACAUCUUAGUAGCUCGAGGAAAAAGAAAGCAAAAGCGAUUNCCCUUAGUAGCGGCGAGCGAAAACGGGACGAGCC
rnacentral:rRNA from 1 species